rnacentral:rRNA from 1 species
GACGAACGCUGGCGGCGUGCCUAAUACAUGCAAGUCGAGCGGACCGACGGGAGCUUGCUCCCUUAGGUCAGCGGCGGACGGGUGAGUAACACGUGGGUAACCUGCCUGUAAGACUGGGAUAACUCCGGGAAACCGGGGCUAAUACCGGAUGCUUGAUUGAGCCGCAUGGUUCAAUUAUAAAAGGUGGCUUUCAGCUACCACUUACAGAUGGACCCGCGGCGCAUUAGCUAGUUGGUGAGGUAACGGCUCACCAAGGCGACGAUGCGUAGCCGACCUGAGAGGGUGGUCGGCCACACUGGGACUGAGACACGGCCCAGACUCCUACGGGAGGCAGCAGUAGGGAAUCUUCCGCAAUGGACGAAAGUCUGACGGAGCAACGCCGCGUGAGUGAUGAAGGUUUUCGGAUCGUAAAACUCUGUUGUUAGGGAAGAACAAGUACCGUUCGAAUAGGGCGGCACCUUGACGGUACCUAACCAGAAAGCCACGGCUAACUACGUGCCAGCAGCCGCGGUAAUACGUAGGUGGCAAGCGUUGUCCGGAAUUAUUGGGCGUAAAGCGCGCGCAGGCGGUUUCUUAAGUCUGAUGUGAAAGCCCCCGGCUCAACCGGGGAGGGUCAUUGGAAACUGGGGAACUUGAGUGCAGAAGAGGAGAGUGGAAUUCCACGUGUAGCGGUGAAAUGCGUAGAGAUGUGGAGGAACACCAGUGGCGA